rnacentral:rRNA from 1 species
GGCUCAGGACGAACGCUGGCGGCGCGCCUAAUACAUGCAAGUCGAGCGAGAAGACGUAGCAAUACGUUUGUAAAGCGGCGAACGGGUGAGGAAUACAUGGGUAACCUACCCUCGAGUGGGGAAUAACUAGCCGAAAGGUUAGCUAAUACCGCAUACGGCUCCUGGUCUGCGGAUCGGGAGAGAAAGCGAUACCAUGGGUAUCGCGCUCUUGGAUGGGCUCAUGUCCUAUCAGCUUGUUGGUGAGGUAAUGGCUCACCAAGGCUUCGACGGGUAGCUGGUCUGAGAGGACGAUCAGCCACACUGGCACUGCGACACGGGCCAGACUCCUACGGGAGGCAGCAGUAAGGAAUAUUGCGCAACAGGCGACAGCCUGACGCAGCGACGCCGCGUGGGGGAUGAAGGUCUUCGGAUUGUAAACCCCUUUCGGCAGGGAAGAUGGAACGGGUAACCGUUCGGACGGUACCUGCAGAAGCAGCCACGGCUAACUUCGUGCCAGCAGCCGCGGUAAUACGAAGGUGGCAAGCGUUGUUCGGAUUUACUGGGCGUACAGGGAGCGUAGGCGGUUAGGUAAGCCCUUCGUGAAAUCUCCGGGCCUAACCCGGAAAGGGCGGAGGGGACUGCUUGGCUAGAGGAUGGGAGAGGAGCGCGGAAUUCCCGGUGUAGCGGUGAAAUGCGUAGAGA